GGGUGGGCGGAGGGGAGGGACAGGGGGCGGAGCUGGAGGGGGUGGUUCGGUGUGGGGGCCGUUGGCUCCAGACAAAUAAACAUGGAGUCCAUCUUCCACGAGAAACAAGAAGGCUCACUUUGUGCUCAACAUUGCCUGAAUAAUUUAUUGCAAGGAGAAUAUUUUAGCCCUGUGGAAUUAUCCUCAAUUGCACAUCAGCUGGAUGAGGAGGAGAGGAUGAGAAUGGCAGAAGGAGGAGUUACUAGUGAAGAUUAUCGCACGUUUUUACAGCAGCCUUCUGGAAAUAUGGAUGACAGUGGUUUUUUCUCUAUUCAGGUUAUAAGCAAUGCCUUGAAAGUUUGGGGUUUAGAACUAAUCCUGUUCAACAGUCCAGAGUAUCAGAGGCUCAGGAUCGAUCCUAUAAAUGAAAGAUCAUUUAUAUGCAAUUAUAAGGAACACUGGUUUACAGUUAGAAAAUUAGGAAAACAGUGGUUUAACUUGAAUUCUCUCUUGACGGGUCCAGAGUUAAUAUCAGAUACAUAUCUUGCACUUUUCUUGGCUCAAUUACAACAGGAAGGUUAUUCUAUAUUUGUUGUUAAGGGUGACCUGCCAGAUUGCGAAGCUGACCAACUCCUGCAGAUGAUCAGGGUCCAACAGAUGCACCGACCAAAACUUAUUGGAGAAGAAUUAGCACAACUGAAAGAGCAAAGAGUCCAUAAAACAGACCUGGAACGAGUGUUAGAAGCAAAUGAUGGCUCAGGAAUGUUAGAUGAAGAUGAGGAGGAUUUGCAGAGGGCUCUGGCACUAAGUCGCCAAGAAAUUGACAUGGAAGAUGAGGAAGCAGAUCUCCGCAGGGCUAUUCAGCUAAGUAUGCAAGGUAGUUCCAGAAAUAUAUCUCAAGAUAUUCCACAGACAUCAGGUACAAAUCUUACUUCAGAAGAGCUUCGGAAGAGACGAGAAGCCUACUUUGAAAAACAGCAGCAACAGCAGAAGCAGCAGCAGCAGCAGCAGCAGGGGGACCUAUCAGGACAGAGUUCACAUCCAUGUGAAAGGCCAACCACCAGUUCAGGAGCACUUGGGAGUGAUCUAGCUACCCAGGAGGCAGAAGCAGGAGGAUUGCUUGAGCCCAGGAGUUUGAGCCUGCAGUGAGCUAUGAUCUUGCCACUGUAAUUCUAGCCUGGUCGACAAAGCAGGAAAAAAGUGUGGAUGGAGGACCAGCAACAUCUGUAUCACCUGUGAAAUAAACAGCCUUGUUGCUCACACAAAGCCUGUUUGGUGGUCUCUUCACAUGGAUGUGUGUGACAUUUGGUGCCGACAACCUGACAGGAGGACUCCUCUGGGAGACCGGUCCCCUGUCCUCGCCCUCACUCCAUGAGGAGAUCCACUUGCGACCUUGGGUCCUCAGACCAACCAGCCCAAGGAACAGCUCAUGAAUUUCAAAUCAGGACUCCAGUGGAAAUCGGACUGUCCAACCUGGCAGAUACUCCCAGAGCCCCUGGAACUCUGGCCCAAGGCUCUCUGACUGACUCUUUCCCAGAUCUUCUCGGCUUAGCAGCUGAAGACCGACACUGCUCGAUUGCCUCAGAAGCCCCCUGGACCAUCACAGAUGCUGAGCUUUGGGUAACUCUUACAGUGGAGGCCUCAGUUCCUACCAUAGUGCCUGUCACGGAGCAGCUAAUCGAUACAGUGAGGCGUAUAAGUUAUUUGAAGCCGCUUCCUGCGCAAUGGAAAGUCCCCGCCAAGUCUCCAGGCACCGCUGGAGGUAGUCCCAGUUAAAACAUUAGGUUUCAACAACACAAGGAGGGUUCGCAGGGUCCCCCGACUACCCACCAAGGGUCGGCUCUGGUUUGAAACGCAGCUGCAGGAGUCCGAGAAGCGCCGCGAUGCCCCAGUUAUCCAGGCCAUUCCUACCCCGGCCAAAGCCGGCCGGCUGCGUGUACCUAACCUUGCGCUAGGCGCUAGCGGCAGUCAAUCCAACAGGCGCGCGGUCCUCCGCGAUCCCAGCCUCCCUUGCGCCACGGACACGUCCGGCGGCUUCGCGGGGCCUGUCUACGCCACCGCGACGCCUUUCUAUGAUCCGCUGCCGCUUUCCGAGCGAGUGUCAUGGCGGCCGGCGUCGAGUUGGCAGGAGUAGCCCACGGAACUGGGGAAACUCACUAGAGCUGAGGAAGAAGUGGCCCAAUCUGGACGGCGGGAAUGAGCAGAAGGCCCUCCGUGGGUGACUGUGUCACUAGAGGCGGGACCCUGGUAAAAUUCCAGACCAGGCCUCUGCGUUGCUAGGCAGAACCUGGAGCCGGCCUUGCUUGAGAACCCCGCUUUGUGAUAUCGUAUCCUGUCUCGCGAAGGCAGGCGUUCAAGGAUAUUUGGUCCGAUCGUCCGACGGCGCUAAACUUUUUUUUUUUUUUUCUCCCGAGCGGACCAGGUCGUUCUCUAAACUCGCUGCGAUGUCGUCCUGGCUUGGGGGCCUCGGCUCCGGAUUGGGCCAGUCUCUGGGUCAUGUCGGGGGCAGCCUGGCUUCCCUCACUGGCCAGAUUUCAAACUUUACAAAGGAUAUGCUGAUGGAGGGCACGGAGGAAGUGGAAGGUAACAGCUGGAGCGAGGGAAGGGAGGGCUUUUCUAAGACCCUGGGAACGUCCGUUUGGUCCCUACUUCCAUCAGUCAGGAGACGCGGACAGGUCGCCAAGGAAUGCUGCUCCUCCCUUUUUUCUUCACACACCUCCUCUUGCCUCUUCUCAACAGAUUUUCUAUGAUGAAAGACCACUGGGGGCCAGGGGAAGACUCCUGGUUCUCCUCCUUUAAAUAUUCUGGAUAUCUCAAAGUACAGUAGAGUGAAACUGCUCCUACGUUAUGUCGAAUUUAUUUUUGUUUGGUUUAUCCACGCCCACCACUUUGCCCUCAGUUUGGGGUCUGAGCUCAUUCUUACUUCCCUGUAUUCUGACACAGUUUAAAGAAUUGUGUAUGUGUUCUAUUUUUGUAACAGUUGAAAUAACUCAUAAUUUAAACAUUCGGUGAGUUUUGCUCUUUUCUGUCUUGAGUAUGUUAUGAAACACGUCCAUAUUUUUCCAUUUAAUUAUUUUUUACUUUUCCUUAUUGUGAUGAUACAUUGUAGCGUUCCAGCUGAGAAUGUAUUUUUGUGUAUAGUCGCUCAUUUCGUCCGUAUUUCGACAGUAGACUAGGGAAGACAACCCUAUUAUUAAGGUACCCUUAGCAAUCUUCACUCAUUUUUGAAGUCCUCAAUCUUGUUAGUAAAACAAGAUUGAGUCACACACAAUAGUGACCCAGAGUUACAUGGUAAUCAAUGGCUACAUUAAUUACUAUCCAUUAAUUACUAUUUUGAUUUCUUGGCAUUUCAGUAAGCAAUGUUUGGAUCGAAACAGUUUUUAAGUUUCAAUCUAAGUCUGCUCCAGGGAGAUAAUGGACUGUUCUUCUGGGUGAGAGCUGCUGCUUUGACAAUUGUAUUUCUUAUAAAUAAAUUUAAUAAAUUAGUAUUCUGGCUUA